GAUGAACGCUGGCGGCGUGCUUAACACAUGCAAGUCGAACGAAGCUCCUGCGCAGAUCCCUUCGGGGUGAAGCAAGGGAAGACUUAGUGGCGGACGGGUGAGUAACGCGUGGGUAACCUGCCAUAUACAGGGGGAUAACAGUUAGAAAUGACUGCUAAUACCCCAUAAGCGCACAGUAAGGCAUCUUACAGUGUGAAAAGCCUUUACGGUAUAUGAUGGACCCGCGUCUGAUUAGCUAGUUGGUGAGGUAACGGCCCACCAAGGCGACGAUCAGUAGCCGGCCUGAGAGGGUGAACGGCCACAUUGGGACUGAGACACGGCCCAAACUCC
rnacentral:rRNA from 1 species